rnacentral:rRNA from 1 species
GACGAACGCUGGCGGCGUGCUUAACACAUGCAAGUCGAACGGAAAGGCCCUGCUUUUGUGGGGUGCUCGAGUGGCGAACGGGUGAGUAACACGUGAGUCACCUGCCCUUGACUUUGGGAUAACUUCAGGAAACUGGGGCUAAUACCGGAUAGGAGCUCCUGCUGCAUGGUGGGGGUUGGAAAGUUUCGGCGGUUGGGGAUGGACUCGCGGCUUAUCAGCUUGUUGGUGGGGUAGUGGCUUACCAAGGCUUUGACGGGUAGCCGGCCUGAGAGGGUGACCGGCCACAUUGGGACUGAGAUACUGCCCAGACUCCUACGGGAGGCAGCAGUGGGGAAUAUUGCACAAUGGGCGGAAGCCUGAUGCAGCAACGCCGCGUGCGGGAUGACGGCCUUCGGGUUGUAGACCGCUUUCGCCUGUGACGAAGCGUGAGUGACGGUAAUGGGUAAAGAAGCACCGGCUAACUACGUG